GGCGUGGUAUACCAUGUACAUCGGAAUAUCAGUAGGAGGCGCUGUGGUGCUGAUCCUCACUGUAGCUGUGGCAGUGUGCUACUGCAGGGGCCGAAGUAACACAGAAGAUCAAACUGAUAACGCAAUAUAUGCUGAUAUUAUGGACAACACAGGAAGUAGAGAUACAAGAUCAAUCAGUUAUGUAAACCCAAUAUCCAUCUAUGAAACUGUCAAUGAUCUGGUUUCCCAAGACUGAACAAACCGCAGACUCUGUAUGACAAGAUUACAUUUGGACUUCCAGAAGGCCCCCAAUCUCCCUACCAGGAAGUACUGUGAGCUGAACAGGAUGUGGUCAUAGGUUGGGCCUUCCAUAGAUAUGUAACCCUCUGCAUCCUCUGCAUCUUACACGUGUAUAUUCUGUAGAUAGGCCUAGAUGUUACUGGUAAAUUUCAUCACAACCUACACUAUUUGCUUAUUUUUCCUUCUCCCUUUGAUGAUUCUCACAUAUACAGUAUAUCAUAAGGCCUUAUAUCUUCCUUUGAAGGCCUAGAUACAAUUAGAAGAUUCGGAAAUGUGUAAUAGGCAGUAGAAGGCGUGGUGAUCAGACAAGCUCAUAUGUCGAAUUUCUAUUUUCUAGAUUAAAGACAAUUGUUUUAGAUACUAGUAGGACAUUGAUUAGUGAGAUUGAUUUAUGCCUGUGUACUCUUUUGCGUUAUUAUUAUGUGCUCGCCAGGCAUCAAUGAGGUUGUAAUCAGAGAGUAUAUGCUCUCGAGCCUUGGUUGCGUGUUGAUUGUAGAUGGUCUUAUUUGAUUUGUCAUCAUUUCCAAAAUGGCAUUCAUGUCUGUCCCAAUUACCAGAUGUAAUUCAGUUCAUUCUAAAAACAAAUAUGCCGUUCAAUAGAAAAACAAAUAAUUAUACCUUAUUUGCAUGCCUUGCGUGCCUUGCAUUUAGAGUGAAUUGUAAUUAACUCUCAUGACUGAAUUUGUUAGCGACAGAGUCAUGAUUGUUGUAUUGAAUGGUUUUCAGUACUGGAGCCUUCACCAAGUGAUUGUCUAAGUGGAUAUGUUAUCUUUAAAAUUAAACUCAUUAUGACAACACAUUACAUAUAUCAUAAAGCCCCUGAGGGCCUAGUUACAUCCUAAAACACUGGUCUGAAGCUCCUGAAUUAGUCAAAUUAUGCCGGCUUGCAAAGGGAUGUGUCAUUUCUAUUGGAAUCCAGCCAAAGUUAGGAUAUUCAAAAAUUGAACCUUUCAGUCACACGCAACCUGCAUUCAGAAUGACUGUUGGGGAAGGGAAGAUUGAUUUUGAGAAUUUCUAAAUCAUAUAAACUGGAACAAACAUAUCAGUAAUGGGUGACAUAUGUCCAACUACUAACAGAUUGGAAUAGUUUAGAAAAAUCUAUGUUAUCUAUGUUUGUGUAGCAUAAGAUUAAUCAACCAGUCAUAGUAAAUAUCAAAUCAAAUGUAUUAAUAUAGCCCUUAUUACAUCAGCUGAUAUCUCAAAGUGCUGUACAGAAAGAGUUGAAAACAGCAGGCCUGGGACAGGUAGCACAUCCGGUGAACAGUUCAGGGUUUCAUAGCCGCAGGCAGAAAAGUUUAAACUGGAGCAGCAGCACGGCCAGGUGGACUGGGGACAGCAAGGAGUCAUCAUGCCAAGUA